CAUCACUACGCUAGAUGCAUAUCAAUAAGCGGAGGAAAAGAAACUAACAAGGAUUCCCCUAGUAACGGCGAGUGAAGCGGGAAGAGCUCAAAUUUGAAAUCUUCAAGGUUUGACCUUGACGAAUUGUAGUUUAAAGAAGUGUUUUCGGUUAGAGGAGUAGUAAAAGUUCUUUGGAAUAGGACAUCAUAGAGGGUGAGAAUCCCGUAUUUGACUAUUCUUUCUAGCUUUGUGAUACACUUUCAAAGAGUCGGAUUGUUUGGGAAUGCAGUCCAAAAUGGGUGGUAAAUUUCAUCUAAAGCUAAAUAUUGGCGAGAGACCGAUAGCGAACAAGUACCGUGAGGGAAAGAUGAAAAGAACUUUGAAAAGAGAGUUAAACAGUACGUGAAAUUGUCAAAAGGGAAGCGUUUGACACCAGUGUUGUUUUUCCGAAAAUCAAUUAAAAAUUGAUUCAUGCCAGGUUGUAUUGACCUUAUCAGCUUGCAAUUUGGUUUUGGGUCUCUUUUUGAUGCACUUUUCGGUUAACAAGUCAACAUCAAUUUCCUUUGCUGUAAAAAGGUAAGAGGAAGGUGGCUUCAAUUUCGGUUGAAGUGUUUAUAGCCUUUUAUCUCUGCAGUCGGGGAGAUUGAGGUCUGCAGCGUAGAUCCUUCGGGGCUAGAUACAUUUAUGCUAAGUUAUAGCUUUUCAUAGACAACUUGUUGACUAUGUUUAGUCAUGUAGCUUACGAGUAAGUGCUAUUUUACCUACGCUUAGGAUGUUGAUAUGCAUGACUGAUAU
rnacentral:rRNA from 1 species